rnacentral:rRNA from 1 species
UACGAAGGGGGCUAGCGUUGUUCGGAUUUACUGGGCGUAAAGCGCACGUAGGCGGAUACUUAAGUCAGGGGUGAAAUCCUGGAGCUCAACUCCAGAACUGCCUUUGAUACUGGGUAUCUCGAGUCCGGAAGAGGUGAGUGGAACUCCUAGUGUAGAGGUGGAAUUCGUAGAUAUUAGGAAGAACACCAGUGGCGAAGGCGGCUCACUGGUCCGGUACUGACGCUGAGGUGGCGAAAAGCG